AAUCCGGUAGGAGAACCAACAGGGAUUGCCUCAGUAACGGCGAGUGAAGCGGCAACAGCUCAAAUUUGAAAGCUGGCCCCCCCGGGGGUCCGCGUUGUAAUUUGUAGAGGAUGAUUCGGCGAGGGCUCCCGCCUAAGUCCCCUGGAACGGGGCGUCAUAGAGGGUGAGAAUCCCGUAUGCGGUGGGCUGCCUUAGCCAUGUGAAUCUCCUUCGACGAGUCGAGUUGUUUGGGAAUGCAGCUCUAAAUGGGAGGUAAAUUUCUUCUAAAGCUAAAUACCGGCCAGAGACCGAUAGCGCACAAGUAGAGUGAUCGAAAGAUGAAAAGCACUUUGGAAAGAGAGUUAAAAAGUACGUGAAAUUGUUGAAAGGGAAGCGCUUGCAGCCAGACUUGUCCGCAGUUGCUCAGCCGGUCUCCUGACCGGCGCACUCUUCUGCGGCCAGGCCAGCAUCAGUUCGGGCGGUCGGAUAAAGGCCCCGGGAACGUAGCUCCUCUCGGGGAGUGUUAUAGCCCGGGGUGGAAUGCGGCCAGCCUGGACUGAGGAUCUCGCUUCGGCUAGGAUGCUGGCGUAAUGGCUGUAAGCGGCCCGUCUUGAAACACGGACCAAGGAGUCUAACAUCUAUGCGAGUGUUUGGGUGUCAAACCCAUGCGCGUAAUGAAAGUGAACGGAGGUGGGAACCCUCGCGGGUGCACCAUCGACCGAUCCUGAUGUCUUCGGAUGGAUUUGAGUAAGAGCAUAGCUGUUGGGACCCGAAAGAUGGUGAACUAUGCCUGAAUAGGGUGAAGCCAGAGGAAACUCUGGUGGAGGCUCGCAGCGGUUCUGACGUGCAAAUCGAUCGUCAAAUUUGGGUAUAGGGGCGAAAGACUAAUCGAACCAUCGACUACUAGGUGGUUAAGAGGUGGCUGAAAGUGCCCACCUAGUCCCCCCGUCCUCGGACGGGGGGGGCGACAUCGCCAAAUUGCGGGGACUCCCUUAGAGCCUCUACUACCGCGGCCGGCCGAAAGGCGCGGUGCAGCACCGGGUUAAUUGCCUAGGGUACGGUAAAAAGGUAGAGGAUUGGGAAAUCCGCAGCCAAGCGCCUAAUUCCCGCGGGAAAACGCCAAAGGUUCAAAGACAAAAUGGGGG
rnacentral:rRNA from 1 species